rnacentral:lncRNA from 1 species
GGACACUCGCAUCUCUCUGGUUCUAGUAACACAAGCUGCUCUUCUUAGCUGAUGGAUUUCAGUCACCCCUGGUAAGGCCAUGACAGAGCUGGAAUUUUCUGGAGGUCUUGAUGAAGACUCAGUGG